rnacentral:piRNA from 1 species
UAAUACAGGAUAUUUGCCAAAAAUGCAC